UAUUAUAAUCAACUUAUCUUACUAGUAUUUAUUAACUAAUUAAAAGUUAAAAAUUAAUUAAAAUUAGAUUUCUAAAAAAUAUAAUUAAAUGUAGCAAAAAAAAAAAUACAAAAAUUUAAUUUAAGUAAAGAUGACAAUCUUUUACCUUUUGUAUCAGGGUUAAUUAAUAAUAAAAAAGAGUUUAAUGUCUCGAAAUUUACAACCAUAUAAGAAUUUUACAUUGUUACCAUUCAAAAGGUAAAAUAAAUUAAUUUUUAGAUUUUAUAUAAAACCAUGUUUUAAAUAUCUAGUUAUUAAAUAUAAUAAUUUAAUUAGAUAUUGUUUACUAUUAACUUAUUUGAUAACCUAAAUUCCAAAAUUAAACAAUAGAAACCUUUAAAAGUUAAGUAUUAAAGUAAAAUAAAUUUGAAUACUAAAAAUAUCUAAAUAAGAUUGAUAAUCUUUAAUUAAAAAAUAUAUAAAAAUGAAGAAACCUUAAAUUUAUAUUUUAAAUUAAAUUAUCUUGAUAUUUAAUUAAAUCUAAAUAAAAGCAAAUAAAAUAAAAUGAUUAAAUUAAUAUACAAUCUAGAUUUAAAUUAACAAUUAGGCAAUUAAUUAAGUUUCCAUCUGUUUAUCAAAAACAUAGUUUAAAGAAAAAGAUUUUAGAUAAAUUCUGCUCAAUGAGUAAAUUAAAUAGCUGCAGUAAAUUAACUGUACUAAGGUAGCAUAAUAAGUUGCUUUAUAAUUAAAAGCUUGAAUGAAAGAAAUAAUGUGAAACAAGCUUUUUAAACUAAAGUAGUAAAAAUUAAUAUUUAAGUGAAAAAUCUUAAAUAAAAUCAAAAGACAAGAAGACCCUUUAGAACUUUACAAAUUAACUUAAUUUCAUUUGGUUAAUUUGUUAGAUUGGGGAGAUUUUUAAAUAAAUAAAUCUUUAGAUAUAAAAAAAUGAUUUAAAUCAAAUUAAAUUAUCCAAAUAUGAAAUAAAACAAGUUACCUAAGGGAUAACAGCGCAAAAUUUUUGAGAAGUUCUCAUUUACAAAAUAAAUUGCGACCUCGAUGUUGGAUUAAGAACAACUUAUAAAGAAAAAUUUAUAAGAGUUGGUCUGUUCGCCCAAAUAAAUCUUACAUGAUCUGAGUUCAGACCGGCGUGAGCCAGGUCAGUUUAUAUCUUUGAUUAAAUAAUUCUGCACUACAGUACGAAAGGAUCUAGAGAAGUAAAGUUUUUAUAUAGAAA
rnacentral:rRNA from 1 species